AGUCCCAUCAUCAGAGCCAGAAGACUCUGCAUUUUGGAGGCCAGCUGAGAAGCUCUUUUUAUAUCUGCAGGAUUCAGGCUCUCUUCUUCACAAGAUACUCCCAGACCAUACUUGGAGAAAACAGAACUAGAGUUCAUGAAAAGCAAAACUAUAAGCAGAGUUGUAAACUUUCAGCACUUCGCUCCCGGUCAGGCAUCUCACAGUUCUCCCGACAUGCUUCACUCCUCCAGGAAAUGCCUGCCGAAGACCAAGUUGAGACAAUUUCUGGCCUCUCCACACCCUCUGUUGUGACUUCCUCUUCAUAACUGACUGACAUCUCAGGAAUCUCCCCAUAAUUCUGUAUUUCUUUUGAAGGAACUGCAGUCUGUAAAUUAUAGUAAACAAAGUAAGUGUGAAUGAGUAGAAAGAUGAUGAACUUUCAAGUCAGAUAGGGCUGGCCUUGAAUUCUAUAGUAGAUCCCCUGUUUGGCUUCCUCUGCUGUAAAGUAACAGUAGUGUCUACUUCCAAUAAUAAUGCCUAUUAACAAAAGUUAAUAACUACGUAUUAAUUGCUAAAUGUACAGCACCUAACAGCACAGCAGGGCACAGGCAGUAGGUAUAUGACAGAUAUACAUCCCAUUUACUUUGACAAAAGGAAAAUUAAACUUUCAUCCUCUUACCAUUUUCUAUUAUGGAAACUUCUCUGCACACAUAUAAGAUGCUUUGACUUCAAAUGAAUUCAGACAAAUAAAUGUACCAAUUACCUUA